rnacentral:lncRNA from 1 species
UUUUUGGGUGGAGAAGAGGCAUGAUGGGAAGAAGCAGCCUGUCCUUUGUUGGGAGACGCCAUAUUUUAACAUGGAGGCUGCUACUCUAUGAGGCAGCCAUCUUAAGGACAAGAAAACUUUAGAAAGAAUUUUUAGAUAGAGUUCUCAACACCCAGGACCUGGUAACAACACGGCUAUAAAGCAAUUCAAUAGAUGACCACAGCCUGACUAAAUGUGCAGGCACAAGAUGACAACAAACCUUUUCUGAUGAGGUAACAAGCCCAUUUUCA